UGAUGUAGAUUGAUCGAUCAUAGACGAAACGACAGCCCCAGCGCAAUACGUUCCCUAACUUCCGCUUCCAAUUCCUUCCCUGAUCGCUUGGCUUUCCAUCUCCCCACCGCUUUCCGACUGAAUCGGCGGCUCGGCGGCGAUCGCAUUGCAGCCUUGCAGGUUCAGCGAGGCGACGGGCAAGAAGCGGAACUGCACGCGACUUUCGAGCGCUGGACGCCGCGCCGCAGGCGGCCGGCCGACACUGCCGCGGUGCCGCCCAACAGGAAAGACCAACCGUCAUUCAAGUUCAGAAGUAGUCACAGAUUCAAGAAUUUCAGUAGUUGCUCGUACUAUCGUCCAAGUCCAAAAUCAAGGUUCUAUCUGAUUAAACAAUCAUGCAUUCUAGUUCUGGAAGAAAGUAUGGUUCUGGUGCCUUCAAGCGUAAGAAGAAACAGAAAUUAGAAGAAGAUGCUCAAAUUCAAAGGGGUGCUCUUGAUAAAUAUGUUGUGAUAGUACCCCAAACUAAUUCUGAAAAUCAUACUCCAGAUGGUAAUAUUGAUGAUGGUCAUGAUGAUAAUGCAGUAGAGGUUGAGGUUGUCACUGCAGAAAUUCAUGAAGUUGAUCAUGGUCAUGGUGAUAAUGCACAAGAGGAUGAGAUUGCCGCUACAGAAAUUGAUGAAGGUGAUGAUGUCAAUAUUUUAGAUGAUGAUCAUGAUCCUAAUAUUUCGGAUGACAUGAAUAAUUCCGUUCAGCUUGAUAUAUUUGAUCCUAGAAAUUGGGAUGGACUUGAUCCUAAAAGAUUAAUUAUGAAGAUGUAAUUGAAGAUUUCAUUUCAAGGAACACAAGAUGGAUGACACUUUUCAAUAAAGCAUGAGGUCAGUUUAUUGGUUUUAGUAUUUCGCAUUGAUACUUCAGAAUAUUCUAAGCAUUGUAUGAAAUAACAUAAAUUUUAAUUACAUAAUUAGUUGAUUAUGCUUGCGUAUUUGUAUUUUUUUUAAUUUGGGGCCCCAUUUUUCUUUUCGCCCCGGGGCCCCGAAUUCCUGGAGACGGCCCUGCUCACAAACCAUGCAAGGCUCGCGAAACCUUGCCGGGUUAGCAUUCUGAGUUUGAGCUUUGCUUCGGUAGAA